GAUGAAGAACGCAGCGAAGUGCGAUAAGUAAUGUGAAUUGCAGAAUUCCGUGAAUCAUCGAAUCUUUGAACGCAAAUUGCACUUUCUGGUAUUCCGGAGAGUAUGCCUGUUUGAGGGUCAGUAUAAUAAAUAAAUCGUGGUUGUUGCCACCUUUUCGUGGUGAUGCUUCGGAAUUGAGUCGUCUUACCCUUCGGGUUAAGUGACUUAAAAUUUUUUCAUACGAUUUCGAAACGUAUUUAAUGUAUUAUGUACGUUCACGAAUAUCGAAUGUUUUAUUAGGUGCGGUCAUUUUUAUGAAUUCGCGUCUAUAAUUUUUUUUUUUUGACCUCAAAUCAGGUAAGAAUACCCGCUGAACUUAAGCAUAUCAAUAAGCGGAGGA
rnacentral:misc_RNA from 1 species